rnacentral:pre_miRNA from 1 species
UUAACUCAAAUUUAUAUGGAGUUGGAACGUUUGCCUACGUUUGCCUCUAGGAGCGCUGUUCCAACUUCAUACAAAUUUGGUUA